ensembl:snRNA U5 U5 spliceosomal RNA
AUACUCUGGUUUUUCUUCAGAUCAUUCUUUUGCCUUUUACUAAAGAAUCCUUUGGAGAGGAGCAAUUCUGAGUGUUUACCCAAUUCUUGGAGGCAAAAACC